AAUAGUUUUAUGUCACAUCAGUACUUUUAUCCUGAAUUUUAGGAUUUUAUCCUGAAAAAAAUCAAAUCCAAAUUAAAAUACUAAAAUUUAGGAUAAGAAUACUGAUGUGGCAUGAAACUAUU
rfam:Gossypium hirsutum cultivar TM-1 chromosome 16, whole genome shotgun sequence